ensembl:lncRNA
GUGUUUGGGAAUGUGCUUUCAGAAGAUGCCUCUCAGCAUCAGGGAUGAGAGAGCAGUACAAAUGAAAGGUGGCCUGAGAAGACCUCCACAAAAGGGGAUAGCUUCUUCACAACACCCUUGCUACUGGCAGCAUUACCAUAGAACUUUGGAAAAGAACAGUUUUCUGGUUAUCCUCAGUCUAACAAGCAACAGAAUGUAGCCACUUUACCUGUUCACAUAUAUUUUGUUUUAGGGGUAUUACUUCUCCCAGGAAUGGUGUUUGAAAAGACCCUGCAAUGCUGUAGGGGCUGUCUGAGGGUACUCAUCCUGCAUGGAUCCUUUGUGUCUCAGUAACAAUAAAAAGGGGUCACAGGGAGAGACUUUAGGUAAUGUCUCUGUCAGGGAAGCAGAAAAUAAAUUCAUUGUGGCGAUAGGAGCAAGAACAGUCUAGGGAGUGGGACACACAAGCAUUGUUCUGGAGUUGAAAACCAUUUUCAAGCACAUAAUGUAUAGAAGGAAAUAUAUGAAAUGACAUGAGAAUGCAUCUAUAAAUGCAGUAGUGAUUUGUGCUGAGUCUGGAGAAGAAUCUAUGCCCAGUGUACUCCUCCCACUGCAGAGUAACAAGCCAAGCCUGGGAGCAUGGAACAGUGAGAGGCUGAGAUGAAGACAUAACAUCAAUAGACAUGGGGAAAAACUAUCAUUCAGUGAGGGGAACAGGAGCAGAAAGCUGACAUGGAAGUGAUUUCUUUGUGAAUGAAGGAGAUUUGCAAUUCUUCCAGGAAAGAUUUUUCAUCUUCCAUUCCUCCAGGUCUUGUCACAACAGAAAGCUUCAUUUUUCUUCAUAUUCUCAAUGGUGCAACUCCCUCCUCACCAGCAAUGUUAUACUAAUGGAAGAAUGCAUCACGAAGUCCAGGACUGGAUGAACAGAACUCCCUCAUCAUGAGUCCCCUGGUACAGCAUGAGAAAGCUCUUUCCUUUUAGCCUUGGAGAGGCUAUCAAAUUGCUAUUAAUGUUGCAUCUAUCAGUGCUGGGCUACAAGACGUUUGUUUGCUUCAGGUGUCAUGGGAGCUGAAAAAUCUUUUUGGGGAAUGAUACUAUCACUCUAAAGCCUUAUCUUAAGGAAAACAUAUGUGAUCUUGCAAGAAGCCUCUCUUGGUUGCAUUUUAACUUAACAGGAGGUUCCUUUCCCAACAUAUCUGUUAGCACAGGAAUACACAC